AGAGUUUGAUCCUGGCUCAGAUUGAACGCCGGCGGCAUGCCUUACACAUGCAAGUCGAACGGCAGCACGGGAGCAAUCCUGGUGGCGAGUGGCGAACGGGUGAGUAAUAUAUCGGAACGUGCCCAGUCGUGGGGGACAACGCAGCGAAAGCUGUGCUAAUACCGCAUACGAUCUCUGGAUGAAAGCGGGGGACUCGCAAGGGCCUCGCGCGAAUGGAGCGGCCGAUAUCAGAUUAGCUAGUUGGUGGGGUAAAAGCCCACCAAGGCGACGAUCUGUAGCUGGUCUGAGAGGACGACCAGCCACACUGGAACUGAGACACGGUCCAGACUCCUACGGGAGGCAGCAGUGGGGAAUUUUGGACAAUGGGCGCAAGCCUGAUCCAGCAAUGCCGCGUGCAGGAUGAAGGCCUUCGGGUUGUAAACUGCUUUUGUACGGAACGAAACGGCGAGC
rnacentral:rRNA from 1 species